rnacentral:rRNA from 1 species
UACGUAGGGGGCGAGCGUUGUCCGGAAUGAUUGGGCGUAAAGGGCGCGUAGGCGGCUGAGCAAGUCUGGAGUGAAAGUCCUAUUUUCAAGGUAGGAAUUGCUUUGGAAACUGCUUAGCUUGAGUGCAGGAGAGGUUAUCGGAAUUCCCGGUGUAGCGGUGAAAUGCGUAGAGAUCGGGAGGAACACCAGUGGCGAAGGCGGGUAACUGGACUGCAACUGACGCUGAGGCGCGAAAGUGUGGGGAGCAAACAGG